CAGUGAUAUCUCCUUACCGUUAUCAAUGGAGGCACUCGGCUAUGCCGUAAGUGGGGAUGAUGACGGUCCUGCCAUCUUAGACGCUAGUCGGCGAGAUGUAGUGUGAGGGCGGGUUAGAGGCCCG
rfam:Geobacillus sp. Y4.1MC1, complete genome.